GCUACAGGCUUAACACAUGCAAGUCGAGGGGCAGCAGGGCAAUAGCUUGCUAUUGCUGCUGGCGACCGGCGCACGGGUGAGUAACGCGUAUCCAACCUACCCCGCGGUCAGGGACAGCCCGGCGAAAGUCGGAUUAAUACCUGAUGCAGUCAGAAGAGGGCAUCUGAUUUUGACGAAAGAUUGAUCGCCUCGGGAUGGGGAUGCGUAGGAUUAGGCAGGCGGCGGGGUAACGGCCCACCGCGCCGACGAUCCUUAGGGGUUCUGAGAGGAAGGUCCCCCACACUGGUACUGAGACACGGACCAGACUCCUACGGGAGGCAGCAGUGAGGAAUAUUGGUCAAUGGGCGCGAGCCUGAACCAGCCAAGUAGCGUGCAAGGAUGACGGCCCUAUGGGUUGUAAACUGCUUUUAUGCGGGGAUAAAGUUCACUACGUGUAGUGUUUUGUAGGUACCGCAUGAAUAAGGACCGGCUAAUUCCGUGCCAGCAGCAGC
rnacentral:rRNA from 1 species